rnacentral:rRNA from 1 species
CAGCAGCCGCGGUAACACGGAGGGUGCAAGCGUUGUCCGGAUUUAUUGGGUUUAAAGGGUGCGUAGGCGGCCUAAUAAGUCGGUGGUGAAAGCCUCCAGCUUAACUGGAGAACUGCCAUUGAUACUGUUAGGCUUGAGUAUACUUGAGGUAGGCGGAAUUGACAGUGUAGCGGUGAAAUGCAUAGAUAUUGUCAAGAACACCAAUUGCGAAGGCAGCUUACUAAAUUAUAACUGACGCUGAGGCACGAAAGUGUGGGUAUCAAACAGGAUUAGAUACCCCGGUAGUCCCUGUCUCUUAUAC